rnacentral:rRNA from 1 species
UUACCAUGCAGUCGACGGCAGCACGGGAGCAAUCCUGGUGGCGAGUGGCGAACGGGUGAGUAAUACAUCGGAACGUGUCCUGGAGUGGGGGAUAGCCCGGCGAAAGCCGGAUUAAUACCGCAUACGCUCUGAGGAGGAAAGGGGGGGAUCUUAGGACCUCUCGCUCAAGGGGCGGCCGAUGGCAGAUUAGCUAGUUGGUGGGGUAAAGGCCUACCAAGGCGACGAUCUGUAGCUGGUCUGAGAGGACGACCAGCCACACUGGGACUGAGACACGGCCCAGACUCCUACGGGAGGCAGCAGUGGGGAAUUUUGGACAAUGGGCGCAAGCCUGAUCCAGCAAUGCCGCGUGUGUGAAGAAGGCCUUCGGGUUGUAAAGCACUUUUGUCCGGAAAGAAAACACGCCUGUUAAUACCGGGUGUGGAUGACGGUACCGGAAGAAUAAGCACCGGCUAACUACGUGCCAGCAGCCGCGGUAAUACGUAGGGUGCAAGCGUUAAUCGGAAUUACUGGGCGUAAAGCGUGCGCAGGCGGUUCGUUAAGACAGAUGUGAAAUCCCCGGGCUUAACCUGGGAACUGCAUUUGUGACUGGCGGACUCGAGUAUGGCAGAGGGGGGUAGAAUUCCACGUGUAGCAGUGAAAUGCGUAGAGAUGUGGAGGAAUACCGAUGGCGAAGGCAGCCCCCUGGGCCAAUACUGACGCUCAUGCACGAAAGCGUGGGGAGCAAACAGGAUUAGAUACCCUGGUAGUCCACGCCCUAAACGAUGUCAACUGGUUGUCGGGUCUUCAUUGACUUGGUAACGAAGCUAACGCGUGAAGUUGACCGCCUGGGGAGUACGGUCGCAAGAUAAAC